CUGUCAAGAAAAUAUGUUUAAGGUUAAGAGGCAGGAUUAAUCGGGAAGAAGGAAACACAUCACUGUAAUAGUCCUGCCUUAGGUCAAAAGGUGGACAUAUGGGCUGUGCCUCCUACUGAUCACUCAGUAUAUAAGGCACUGUAGAUCACAGUAAGACACAUUGAGAUCUGACCUCUCUUGGAAGAACCAAUUUGGAGGCUGCAGAGAUGAACCAUUUUCUGUGCCUUCUGGCCAUGGGGCUGUACCUGUGCUUGUUAAGCCAGGUGAAUGCAGAACGGCGCUUGAGGAGGAAUUGUAUCCUAAACGCAGUAAAUGACAACAAGGCCAGAGUGGACACGUACUAUGAUUACUCCAGAAAAUAGAGUUUAUCACGCGUAAAGAGGAAUGCUGUCGGACCUGCAGACAUCCUGCGGCUACUGAAGCAGCCUGCUCGUGUAGCCGGCGCGGUCUGCUCGUUGCCGACUACUGCGUUGUGUUCCGGUGCACUGAA